rnacentral:sRNA from 1 species
ACUGGGCACCAUGGUGCAUGCCUGUAGUCUCAGUUAUUUGGGAGGCUGAGGUGGGAGGACCUCUUGAGUCCAGGAAUCAGAGACCAGCCUGGACAACAUAGGGAGACCCUGUCUCAA